GAAACAGGUGCUAAUACCGCAUAACCAUAGUUACCGCAUGGUAACUAUGUAAAAGGUGGCUAUGCUACCGCUUUUGGAUGGGCCCGCGGCGCAUUUGCUAGUUGGUGGGGUAAAGGCUUACCAAGGCAAUGAUGCGUAGCCGAACUGAGAGGUUGAUCGGCCACAUUGGGACUGAGACACGGCCCAAACUCCUACGGGAGGCAGCAGUAGGGAAUCUUCCACAAUGGGCGAAAGCCUGAUGGAGCAACGCCGCGUGGGUGAAGAAGGUCUUCGGAUCGUAAAACCCUGUUGUUAGAGAAGAAAGUGCGUGAGAGUAACUGUUCACGUUUCGACGGUAUCUAACCAGAAAGCCACGGCUAACUACGUGCCAGCAGCCGCGGUAAUACGUAGGUGGCAAGCGUUAUCCGGAUUUAUUGGGCGUAAAGGGAACGCAGGCGGUCUUUUAAGUCUGAUGUGAAAGCCUUCGGCUUAACCGGAGUAGUGCAUUGGAAACUGGGAGACUUGAGUGCAGAAGAGGAGAGUGGAACUCCAUGUGUAGCGGUGAAAUGCGUAGAUAUAUGGAAGAACACCAGUGGCGAAAGCGGCUCUCUGGUCUGUAACUGACGCUGAGGUUCGAAAGCGUGGGUAGCAAACAGGAUUAGAUACCCUGGUAGUCC
rnacentral:rRNA from 1 species